rnacentral:rRNA from 1 species
AUUGAACGCUGGCGGCAGGCCUAACACAUGCAAGUCGAGCGAGCGGCGGACGGGUGAGUAAUGUAUGGGGACUGCCCGAUAGAGGGGGAUAACUACUGGAAACGGUAGCUAAUACCGCAUACUAUCGGAUUACCCAGAUGGGAUUAGCUAGUGGGUGAGGUAACGGCGCACCAAGGCGACGAUCCCUAGCUGGUCUGAGAGGAUGAUCAGCCACACGGGGACUGAGACACGGCCCAGACUCCUACGGAGGCAGCAGUGGGGAAUAUUGCACAAUGGGCGAAAGCCUGAUGCAGCAAUGCCGCGUGAAUGAAGAAGGCCCUAGGGUUGUAAAGUACUUUCAGUCGGGAGGCGUUACCGACAGAAGAAGCACCGGCUAACUCCGUGCCAGCAGCCGCGGUAAUUC